AGAGUUUGAUCCUGGCUCAGGACGAACGCUGGCGGCACGCUUAACACAUGCAAGUCGAACGAGAGAAGAGGAGCUUGCUUUUCUGAUCUAGUGGCGGACAGGUGAGUAACACGUGAGCAAUCUGCCUUUCAGAGGGGGAUACCGAUUGGAAACGAUCGUUAAUACCGCAUAACAUAAUUGAACCGCAUGAUUUGAUUAUCAAAGAUUUAUCGCUGAAAGAUGAGCUCGCGUCUGAUUAGCUAGUUGGUAAGGUAACGGCUUACCAAGGCGACGAUCAGUAGCCGGACUGAGAGGUUGAUCGGCCACAUUGGGGCUGAGACACGGCCCAGACUCCUACGGGAGGCAGCAGUGGGGAAUAUUGCACAAUGGAGGAAACUCUGAUGCAGCGAUGCCGCGUGAGGGAAGAAGGUUUUAGGAUUGUAAUCCUCUGUCUUCAGGGACGAAAAAAGACGGUACCUGAGGAGGAAGCUCCGGCUAACUACGUGCCAGCAGCCGCGGUAAUACGUAGGGAGCGAGCGUUGUCCGGAAUUACUGGGUGUAAAGGGAGCGUAGGCGGGAUCGCAAGUCAGAUGUGAAAACUAUGGGCUUAACCCAUAAACUGCAUUUGAAACUGUGGUUCUUGAGUGAAGUAGAGGUAAGCGGAAUUCCUAGUGUAGCGGUGAAAUGCGUAGAUAUUAGGAGGAACAUCAGUGGCGAAGGCGGCUUACUGGGCUUUAACUGACGCUGAGGCUCGAAAGCGUGGGGAGCAAACAGGAUUAGAUACCCUGGUAGUCCACGCCGUAAACGAUGAUUACUAGGUGUGGGGGGACUGACCCCUUCCGUGCCGCAGCAAACGCAAUAAGUAAUCCACCUGGGGAGUACGACCGCAAGGUUGAAACUCAAAGGAAUUGACGGGGGCCCGCACAAGCAGUGGAGUAUGUGGAUUAAUUCGAAGCAACGCGAAGAACCUUACCAGGUCUUGACAUCGUAUGCAUAGCUCAGAGAUGAGUGAAAUCUCUUCGGAGACAUAUAGACAGGUGGUGCAUGGUUGUCGUCAGCUCGUGACGUGAGAUGUUGGGUUAAGUCCCGCAACGAGCGCAACCCUUACUGUUAGUUGCUACGCAAGAGCACUCUAGCAGGACUGCCGUUGACAAAACGGAGGAAGGUGGGGAUGACGUCAAAUCAUCAUGCCCCUUAUGACCUGGGCCUCACACGUACUACAAUGGCUGUCAACAGAGGGAAGCAAAGCCGCGAGGUGGAGCGAACCCCUAAAAGCAGUCUUAGUUCGGAUUGUAGGCUGCAACCCGCCUACAUGAAGUCGGAAUUGCUAGUAAUCGCAGAUCAGCAUGCUGCGGUGAAUACGUUCCCGGGCCUUGUACACACCGCCCGUCACGCCAUGGGAGUCGGUAACACCCGAAGCCUGUAGUCUAACCGCAAGGAGGACGCAGUCGAAGGUGGGAUUGAUGACUGGGGUGAAGUCGUAACAAGGUA
rnacentral:rRNA from 1 species